GGACAAAGCCGGAAGAGGAGUAAUGGGACAGUUUGAGAGUGUAAAGUGUAUGUAUGCAUGAGUGUGUGUAUGUGAGUAUGUGAAUGCUGAGUGUGCAUGAGUAUGUGUGAGUGUGAAUGUAUGUGAGUAUGUGUAGGUGUGAGUGCUGAGUGUGAGUGUGUGUGAGCGAGUGUGUGUAUGUGAGUGUAUGAGUGUGAAUGAGUGUAUGUGAGUGUGUGUAGGUGUGUGUGAGUGUGUGUAUGUGAGUGUGUGAGAGUGUGUGUGUGUGAUCUGCAUAGGGCCUGAGCCCCCCCAUGCACAGACCUUUCUGACCCCACCCCUACACCAGCAGGAAAUCAUCCUGGGAGCUGCGGGCAGAACCAAAGCUGAAUUAAACACUCAGGUCCAAAGGGCCCAUGCUUCAGCCUGAGCGGGUCUCCUCCGAGGCGGCUGGCUUCCACUGCAGGCAAACACAGAGUAGAGCACAGAGUGGCAGGGGGCCUCUCUGUCCUGUACUGACCGAGGUUAGCUGAGCACAGAAGGCCAGCAGAUGUCCCCUUUCUGGACUUGGUGACUCAUGGCCUUCCCACUGGAGUGAGGGAUCCAGCCAGCCUAAGCCCGCUUGGCUGGUGGGGAUGCAGGGCAGAGUUCAGGGUAAACAUGCCGGUCAAGGAGGGAGGUUCAGUUGAGGGUGAAGAUGAGGACAGGAGGUCUUGCUCCACAGACAGUAGGCGUGGCUAUCCUAAGAUAGGCGGGGCUGCUUGCAGAGGGAUGCAAAUGGUGCUAGAGAUGCACCAAGAGGGUGGCAGUCAUCACCUGGUGGGCUCAGGACAGAUCUUUCCAUCUUUGGACUCUGCUAGAGGGACAGGGGACACUUUCUGGGAAAGGGCUGAGUAGUAUAAACUCUGAAUUUUUGCAGCACACACUAUUUCUGCUUCAAUGGCUUCAGAGACUAUAGCCUGAAAGCCUACCUGACAAAUCUGACACAAACAAUGUGGCCAAAUUCUAAUAAAACUUUAUUUGUAAGCAGGAGCAGAGGGCCAACCUUACAGAGCCUGUGAUAUGGGCUUGUGGGUGGGGCUGGAGGCUCUGGCCUCUCUGUGGGUUCUUGGCUUUACUUAUGGUGUCUCCACCGGAAGGGGCGCUCCUUGCUUCUCCCCCUUUCAGAGUCCUUGACUUCAAACUGCCCUCCAUCCCCACCCCAUUUUCUUCAUUGUACCCCCAAAUCUCUGUUUUGUCUUACAACUAUGUCCACAUUUCCUCACACCUGGGGAUUCAUUCAGCUGUUUAUCUCUUCAUCAGCUCAUUGGUUCAGUCUUAAGCAGAUCUUUGCUUAGGAACGAAGUCCUGUCUCUGUUCCAUGCUCGCUCGCACUAGGAAUGCCCCAAGGGAGCCCCACAUCUGUUGGGCAGAACAGCGGGGACAAAGAGCACAGGGGAACAGAUGAAGAGCAUCCCUGGGACACAGUGUCCAUUUGGCUGGGGCGUCUCUGAGCCCCUCUGGUUAUGCCGAAGCUGUGACAAGCAGGACUUGGUUCUGAAGAACCUGCCAUGCCAAGCUCAGGAACGUGGAUGCCCCAAUGCAGGGUAAAACGCAGGGGGCGUGGUCAGACCCAGACUAUGGAAGCAGAGAGGGCCUGCAGAAUGGGUGACUGGGAUAUCUUCAGCUGGGGUUUCCUCCUAUCUCCUGCCCCUCCUUACUUCUGGUUGCCAUAGAUAGAGGGCAUUGGGAGGCAGUGGCUUCCAGUGGUUUCUGGAAGCCUAGCCUGUCUGAUCGGGAACAGGACAUAGGAAGCAAUGGCCCCACUUCUGUACCCCUCCCCUACUUCCCUCCCUGAUAGUCCCUAUCUGAGACUCACCCUCCCUCUUCCUGCUCCUGGGGCCUGUAGCCUGGGGCUGCAUUGGCAAUCAGUGAUGUUGGUCUCCAUGGAGGCCCAGCAGCCUCAGUUCUGAGUUCAGCCUGCUGUGCAUCUCUGGGGGAGCCUCUACUCUCUCUCUCUCUCUCUCUCUCUCUCUCUCUCUCUCUCUCUCUCUCUCUCUCUCUCUCUCUCUCCUCUGUUUCCUGGAUCAGUCCUCUGUUCAGACCUCAAGGAGCACACGAUGCCAGGCAGCCGCUUUAACCCUUGGUAGUCGUUAUCAACACAUAUCAGUUGCUAACUGCGGUUACUCACUGUUGCUACCGAAUGACGGAUAGAUGGUGCUAUUGGUUGCCUGGGAUGGGCUGUGGGGAGAUGCUGGCAGCCUGCUAUGUGCUCCCAUGAAAUAGCUGUGCCCUCAGGUAACAUACUUUAGUCACUUACUUACCGGCUGCACCAUUUAGGAUCUCUCUCUUUCUCUCUCUCUCUCUCUCUCUCUCUCUCUCUCUCUCUCUCUCUCUCUCUCUCUCUCUCUCUCUCUCUUUCUCUCUCUCUCUCUCUGCCAGUGAACUCCAUAUCCCAGAGUGCCAUGUAUUGAAAGAAAACAGUCCACGACAGUUUGUCCUCCACCAAGCUCAACUCCCACCUUUAUUAUCACAAAUCAGCACCCUGUCUUGUGAGUCUGGCAGACUCAGACCUUCAUAGCUGUCUCUGGUUCCUGCUUGGUGGAAGAAGAGUCAAGGCUCAGAGAGGUGGUAUGCUUGCCUCAGGUCACACAGCAGCUGGGCCCAGAGAUAAAGACAGAGUGACAAUAGGAAGAUCUGAGGGGGACCACUGACCCCCCCCUUUUUUUUUUACCUGACCCCAGUCUCAGACCUUGAGCAUCAAGGUCUCUCAGCCAGUCCCUGGGCCCCUUCCCAUGCUCCCUGGCCCUGACCUUCCUGUCCCACUGGGCUCCUGGUGUUCCGAGUCUGGAAAGUUCUUGAAGCCUGGGAGAGAUAAGGAGUGUCUUGCCCAGGCUGUGGGCAGAGCAGGCCUGUGGCCCCUUUGAUCAGAGGCCACACAGUGUUGCCAGCCAGCUGCUUGGCAAGGCAGCUAUCUAUGGUGGGGACAGCCUGGGCGAUCCACCUGGACAGCCACUUCCCCUUGCCACUAUAGCAGUGCCUGUCUCUGCAGACAGGAAGCUGUCCCUGCACUGGUGGCGGAACCAGCAGGCUUGGCAGCCAGCCAGCGCUUUUAUCUUCUAUGGGAAGUGACCAGGAGACUGGGCCUGGCUUGGUCCACUGGUCCACUUCCCUGGCAAGUGUGGGAGCAGGGUACAGUAGGGUUGACUCCCAUACUGCACUGAUGCCUAGAUCCUGAUGGAGGAUAGACUAUAGACAGAACUUCCCUGGGGAGCUCUGGCCCUCCAUCCCAAGGGAUUCAUUUCUAAGAUAUAUCUGAGCUGCAUCCUUCUGGGCCUAGGUGCCACAUUGUCCUAAGAAAGUGGCAGCUUUGGGUCCUGGCACUGCUCAGAGCUUUCUGGACUUCUGACGGCCCCCAAGCACCAACAAUCCUACGGUCCUUACUGUUGGCUGGGUACAUAUAUGCGUUACCAUUUGCUUAUUUAUAAGGUGGAGACCCAGACUACCCAUAGAGCAGCAUGGAGUGGGGUGGGUCCGAUAGAUGAGACAUAUGAGAUUUGCCAGGUCAAUUGUCAUGUUUAAGCUCCAACUCCAAACCCCAACCCUGGAGAGAGCCCCCACCAUACCAUCUCCAGAAGCCAUGCGGAGAUGAAGGACAACUGGUUUAUAAGACCAGUUGUCCCCAAAGGAUGUCAUAUCCUAAGGGACAUCUCCCUGUUGCUCAUUUUAUCCUUGUAUCCACUCACAGGACAGGAUGUGAUGUCCCUAUGUUCACAAACAGGGAAACUGAGGCCCACUAACAGAGAAACCCAGCAACUCGCCCAGUUCUCUCUGGAGGAUAUCAGGUGUCCUCUUCUAUUACUUUCUGUCUUAUUUCUUUGACGUAGGGUCUAUCAUGAACCCAGAGCCAGGCUGGUUACUUGGCCCUACCCUGUCAUAGCUGUUUGUACAUGUGUGUGAUAUGUAUUUGUGUCUAUAUGUGUGUGUCUAUAUGUGUGUGUCUAUAUGUGGUGUAUGUGUGUAUAUGUAUGUGGGUAUGUGUGUGUGUGUGUCUAUAUGUGGGGUAUGUGUGUGCACCCAUGUGUGUGGGCACAGGUGGAGGGAGGUCAGAGCUGUGCAAGGGUUAAUGGGAAGACAGUUUGUAAAAGAAUCACAGUGUUGGUGGCACCAGGGUAGUAACAGGGGACAUGGUGUUAGAUGGUGACAACGAUUUUGGUGAUGGUACUGGGUGGGGUGCUGGAGACUUUGGCCUGGUCCUCUCUUCUGCUCUGUGUGGAUGUCCCUUGGCACUGGCCUGCACCUGGCUCUCAUCUGCCCCCAAAGCCCCCAUGAUACUCUGCUUCCCUCCUUAGGGUCAGAAUCCAAAGGCCCUUCUGAGGGCACAGUGGUCCAGGUUGUCAGAGAUGGCAGGCCAGAG
rnacentral:lncRNA from 1 species